rnacentral:rRNA from 1 species
GACGAACGCUGGCGGCGUGCUUAACACAUGCAAGUCGAGCGGUAAGGCCCUUUCGGGGGUACACGAGCGGCGAACGGGUGAGUAACACGUGGGUGACCUGCCCUCAGCUCUGGGAUAAGCCUGGGAAACCGGGUCUAAUACUGGAUAUGACUCCAUGACGCAUGUUGUGGGGUGGAAAGCCUUGUGCGGCUGAGGAUGGGCCCGCGGCCUAUCAGCUUGUUGGUGGGGUGANGGCCUACCAAGGCGACGACGGGUAGCCGGCCUGAGAGGGCGACCGGCCACACUGGGACUGAGACACGGCCCAGACUCCUACGGGAGGCAGCAGUGGGGAAUCUUGCGCAAUGGGCGAAAGCCUGACGCAGCGACGCCGCGUGAGGGAUGACGGCCUCGGUGUAA